UAUCCAGUAAGACUCCUGGCUAUAGUCCAGCUCUUUGCUGGAUUUAGCCAAAGUCUGUCUGUAAA
rfam:Mesocricetus auratus contig196534, whole genome shotgun sequence.